rnacentral:tRNA from 1 species
GUAGAUAUAGUUUAAUGCAAAACAUUAGAUUGUGGUUCUAAAGUUGAAGGUUAAAAUCCUUCUAUCCACC